AAAUCGUGUAUAUUCACGUGAAUUUAUUUUCCGGAAUUCCGUACACCGUCAUAGAAUAGUUGAAAAACAUAAAGGGGUUCCGAAAGUACAAGUUGUUGCUGUGACUGACUCGAUGAUUGAGGGGGUCGUCUCGACGAAAGAUAGAGACAAUUGGCCAUAGUUUAGAUUAGGAAUACGUCAAUGUAAUAAUAGUGGACCAAAUGUUUCGUCCGUGCAGAAUGGCACUUUUUACCUCACGACCAUGCAUAGCUGCGCUACGUAAACAAUUUUACAAAGUUGUUGAUGUAGCGUGAUCGUGAUGUCAUGUCUGACUCCGAGUGCUGCGGGUUUCAAUACUGUUUAUGUAGUCAUUGAGAGUUUAAACAAAGUUUCUUCUGAGAAGAGGAAUUCGAUGGAUGCAUUCAACGUGGACAACGAGAUUAUAAUUUCGUUUGUGUCAUCCUAAGGACCAGUGCAAGUUGAAAUGGGCUUCGAGUCAACAACUUCAACAGCAAUUUGCCUUGAAAAUCAGCAAGAAAGGUACUUCAUUUACAUUGAUGAUGUCAUAUCCCCUGAACCCCACAACUUUACAGGUUACAGAGAAAAUUCAAGAACUUCUGCACAAUGUGGGACUCGGAUAGAAUCAAUAAUGUAUUUGUGAGCCCAGAUAUAUUGUGCAACAUACUAAAGUGUGAAUUUAAUUGAAAACAAGUACAUGUACUCAUGUAUACUAUUAUAUGUCUUUCUUAAAGACAAUAAUAUUGCAUAAAUGUAGAUGAAGUGACAUUGUUGAUUAUUCAAAGUUUUUGAUAUAUCAAAAUCAGUAAACAUUUCUAAAUGAAAAUAAAAUACCAAUUUUAUAACUUUUAAUCAAUGUGUUUGAAUUUCUCAUUUUCUACCCCCCCCCCCCCCCAACACAUUCAGUGCAUAUAUACCGUGAACUGGGAGAAAUUACAAAUAGAUAAUGCAGUAUGCAUGUAUUCUGAGUUAUCCAAUAGCGAGUUUUUGUUUCAGUGUGAGACUACAAGUAGGACUCAUAAACUUAUGAAGAUACAUAUAUAUUUGUGAGAGCAAGAUAGCUGAUAUGGGCCUCGAGAUCCAUGGGUCGAGCCACGGUGGUGGUCUAGAGGUUAGAGCAUUCGCCCCGCAUGCAGAAUGCCGGGGUUCGAAUCCCGGCCGAGACAGACCUAAGCCGUUAAAACAGGUAAUGAAAGUUCCAUUGCCAAACGCUCGGCAUCAGAUGUGAAUGUCACGGGUCCUCGGAUAUGACCUUAAAAACGGAUUCCCAGUGUCACUGUAGGUGUGGCACUCUAAAGAACCCUCACUGCGCAAUGGCCGUAAGCGCUGAGCAAAGGCCUAAAUUUGAAGCCCUUCACCGGUCUUGGUGACGUCUCCAUAUGAGUGAAAAAUGCUCGAGAGAGAGAUAGACGUUAAACAAGAUACAAUCAAUCAAUCCAUGGGUCGCUUGGAUUGAAAUUUUUCUAUUGAUAUUGAAUAUAAAGUUGUUAUUUAAACAUAUUUGGUGCACUAUGCUGUAUAAUCAUAUCAAUUUCUUCAAAUAGGUAUAAUAGGUAAGCGUGUCUGGUUAUUAUAGAGAAUUGUAUGAAAAAUAACUGAAUAUUAAUGCAAUCAUUGUGAGUGCAAAAAGGUCAAUUGAAAGAGCACAUACAUAAAUGCAUUGGGUGAUUUAACGGGGGGGGGGGGGGGGGGGGGCAACCGGCGCGAGCCCCCCUAAAAUUAUCAAGUUUAAGGUAAAUCGUGGUAUGUUGUUUAGAAAAAUGUAUACGAUAAAAGAAGCAAUAAUUUCCUCCACUCUCGGAGAAAUAAAUGUCUGACAAAACGUUUUGAUUUAUUGAAUUACUUUUAGACCCAUGCCUCAUACAGUCCGUCCCCCCCCCCCGAUUACAAUUCCCGAUCCGCCCCUGAAAUAACUUAUAGAAACCUUCUUAUUGUCAUGUUCAAUUCUCAGAGGUAAUUUGGGAUCGAAUGCUUAAACAUUUUAAGUUAUUAAAAAGUCAGUAGUUUAUCUCUGCUGGCUAAAUCCUUCUUCUCAAUGCGCGGAGUGCAAUUCAUGAUGUCUAUGUUCCUGCUCAUUCUUUCUCCUCCAUACCAUGCAGUACAUUAAAGGGGUUGGGAUGUAAUGGAGACAUUUGUUUUAACAAAUAUAAAUUGUAUUUCUAUUUUUUGUGGGGAUUUUUAUGUGGGAAAACUCUAAUAUUAAUCAUCAAAUGUGAUGACGUAUGAUAAAUUUAUAUUCUGAGUGUAAGUGCACAAAGGUCAACAACGAGAACUACAACAAAGUAUAAGCUAAAAUUUGAAAUACAUACUUUCUGUAUUAUAUUUAUUAAUUUAAAAAAGGUAUUACAAAGAAUCUUCGAAUUUCAGCAAGCUUUUUUUGAUGGAUUGUUUACAACAUCUUUUAAUAAUCCUUUUUCUUACGAAAAUGUGUAGUUUGUAAAAAGAGGGUGGGGUUAGGAAUUUUUUGCUAGUUCCAUAUUGAACCCCAUUAUGGUGUAUAAUUUUUUUCUUAUAUUUAACUUACUAAUAGACUAACCACUUAAUGAAAUAAAAUAAGAAAUUUGAUGGGUAAUUUUUUUGCAGCUAAAGCAAAAGUAUGACCCUGUGUGCAAAUAUUGUUCAUUAUUUUAAGGUAAUAGGCCAAUGUAGCUUUGUUGAAGUAAUGUUGUUGCAUGUUAACAAUGAUUGCUGAACUUGAAAUUGAUGUGUAAUAUACAAUUAUGUGAAAGGUUGUUUGAAACCAUAUAUGACAAGUUAUGAUCCUUUUUACAAUAAAAAUGUUAUAGCUCUA